GAUGAACGCUGGCAGCGUGCCUAAUACAUGCAAGUAGAACGCUGAAGCUUGGUGCUUGCACCGAGCGGAUGAGUUGCGAACGGGUGAGUAACGCGUAGGUAACCUGCCUCUUAGCGGGGGAUAACUAUUGGAAACGAUAGCUAAUACCGCAUAAAAGUCGAUAUCGCAUGAUAUUGAUUUGAAAGGUGCAAUUGCAUCACUAAGAGAUGGACCUGCGUUGUAUUAGCUAGUUGGUGAGGUAACGGCUCACCAAGGCGACGAUACAUAGCCGACCUGAGAGGGUGAUCGGCCACACUGGGACUGAGACACGGCCCAGACUCCUACGGGAGACAGCAGUAGGGAAUCUUCGGCAAUGGGGGCAACCCUGACCGAGCAACGCCGCGUGAGUGAAGAAGGUUUUCGGAUCGUAAAGCUCUGUUGUAAGAGAAGAACGAGUGUGAGAGUGGAAAGUUCACGCUGUGACGGUAUCUUACCAGAAAGGGACGGCUAACUACGUGCCAGCAGCCGCGGUAAUACGUAGGUCCCGAGCGUUAUCCGGAUUUAUUGGGCGUAAAGCGAGCGCAGGCGGUUAGAUAAGUCUGAAGUUAAAGGCUGUGGCUUAACCAUAGUACGCUUUGGAAACUGUUUAACUUGAGUGCAGAAGGGGAGAGUGGAAUUCCAUGUGUAGCGGUGAAAUGCGUAGAUAUAUGGAGGAACACCGGUGGCGAAAGCGGCUCUCUGGUCUGUAACUGACGCUGAGGCUCGA
rnacentral:rRNA from 1 species